GUAGCUUGACUUUUCCCCACCCCCACCCCACUCCGUGUUAGGGGAGAAGGGGAGGGGGUGUCCCGGCAAAUGAAGACAUUAGCAAGGGAGGGAAGAUGGGUUUCCCCUUCAUCUUAUUUCCCUUUUUUUUUUUCAUUAUGAGGUCAGACUGAGGGGGGUUGAAGGCCAUCUCAAAGGCAGGACCAGCUAAGGUUUCACCUAUUACUCCAGGAAAAGCCCAGCAUCCUUGGCCCAGGCGGCCCUAGGGGCUGAUGGGGAGUGUUCCUUCCCAAGUGGGGCUUAGCCAGGCUGCCUCCUGCGCCCCCAGAAGGCAAGAGAAACAUCCCGAAGUGUUGGAUUGCUGUUGGCCAAGGAUCUGUUGUGUUGGGCAAGUAAGAAGCUGGAAGGAGAAUUUCCGUUAUCGGAAUCUGCGUCUUUCGGGAGCAACGCUCCGUAAGUUGGAGUCUGCCCUCUUAGAGUUGACCCCUCAAGACUUCCAGAACCCUUACGAAUGGGAGAAAUUUCAACUCUGGCUCCAGGAAGUCAUGUUUGCAGAAUGGUGGCUGGACCAAUUCUCUCGAGAUAUCAAACGUCGAUGGAAAAAUCUGACAGUGUUCUGAUUGUCCUUGGGGCAUGGGAAGUCUAAUUUGGGGUAAUGUGGUAAAUUGUGCGUUUUUGCUGGACAAUAAAGAACUGAGUGCUAA